rnacentral:rRNA from 1 species
CACGUAGUUAGCCGGUGCUUCUUCUCAACCUACCGUCACCAAAAGGCUUCGUCGGUUGCGAAAGGAGUUUACAACCCGAAGGCCGUCAUCCCCCACGCGGCGUCGCUGCAUCAGGCUUGCGCCCAUUGUGCAAUAUUCCCCACUGCUGCCUCCCGUAGGAGUCUGGGCCGUAUCUCAGUCCCAAUGUGGCCGUACACCCUCUCAGGCCGGCUACCCGUCGACGCCUUGGUAGGCCAUUACCCCACCAACAAGCUGAUAGGCCGCGAGCUCAUCCCAUACCGCAAAAGCUUUCCACCACCCCAUCCAAGAAGUGGUCAUAUUCGGUAUUAGACCCAGUUUCCCAGGCUUAUCCCAAAGUACAGGGCAGAUCACCCACGUGUUACUCACCCGUUCGCCACUCGAGUACCCUGCAAGCAGGGCCUUUCCGUCGACUUGCAUGUGUUAAGCACGCCGCCAGCGUUCAUCCUGAGCCAGGAUCAAACUCU